GCGGAUAUGGCGGAAUUGGUAGACGCACUGGAUUUAGGUUCCAGCGCCGCAAGGCGUGGAGGUUCGAGUCCUCUUAUCCGCACCA
rnacentral:tRNA from 3 species